rnacentral:rRNA from 1 species
CGGAACACGUAGGUAAUCUGCCCUGGGGGGAGAACAACUCGCCGAAAGGCGAGCUAAAUCUCCGUAACAUAGAGAUACGGCAUCGUAUUUUUAUCAAAUUCUCCCUGGGAUGAGCCUGCGUCUGAUUAGCUAGUUGGUAGUGUAACGGACUACCAAGGCUACGAUCAGUAGCUGGUCUGAGAGGAUGAUCAGCCACAUUGGGACUGAGACACGGCCCAG